ensembl:rRNA 5S_rRNA 5S ribosomal RNA
AUUUAUAGCCUUACAACCCUGAAUGUACCCAGUUUCCUCUGAUCUCAGAAGCUAAGUGGAGUCGGGCGUGGCUAGUACUUGGAAGAGGUAUUAAGGGCAUGACUCCAAGGAAACCUGAUGCUCCUAAUG